UCUCUCAACCAAUAGAGUUUUCUAUUGGCUUGGAUCUGGGUGCUGCGAAACAAUCGCUCACCUUAAAGGAGUUAGCAACUAAGCGAUGUCGUCCGACGUAAUAAGUUUCGUCUGGUAAUUCGACUGAGCCAAUUGCUUCUAAUUGUCUUUUGACUUUUUUGA
rnacentral:misc_RNA from 1 species